GGCAAUCAUCAAACCUUUUGUGUUGGUUCCCAGACAUUUUGACAUUUUGGCAAUAAAUAAAGGAGAUCUCUAUCACAACUCUAUCACAAAUUUUCAAGUUUAAAUUUUAUUAGGUGGUAUGGAGGAAUAUAUCUAGCACAUGGAAUCUGUUGGGUUCUAGGUCAACUCAUUAAUAAUCGUAGAAUAAUGCAUUCAUAUGCCGUGAUGUAACAUCUCAUUAACUACUUGUUCUAGGCAGAAUACAUAUCACGACAAUUACAUAGAAGAUGCUUGAGGAGUUCCGUAAUAUUCACAAACUUCAAAGGAAACCAGGGCAUGGAAUUUUUUAAUGGAUAAAUAUAUGAUGAUCUACCGAAAUACCAUGCCUCUCAAGUAUUGUGCUUAGGAGCUUCAUUAAAACCUUCAGAUGGUUGUAAAGUCAAAUCUGAAGCUCCGUUGACGUUCCUUAGCACUGCAAAGCCAAAAAUAAGGCAUAUAUUAUUAGUGGGAUAGCUAAGUUUUUCCCAUAUACCAUAUGAAGGCAAUCCAUUGAUCAAUAGUACGAAUAAACUUAGAAGCAACCUCAGCCUACAAAUCAUCUGAAGAAAUGAAGACAUCCUCCUUUCAAUGAUAGCAAAUCACUAUUUGCAAAGGUAGUGCACUAAUGCGAAAACAAUAACUACAUCACUGCAUAACCAAUCCAAACUAGUCCACUUGCAGAAAAGCAACAUGGAACAUAAUUGAUUCAGCUCUGUCACAGUUGAUGAUAGGAGAAGGGGCAAAUAUCUUAAAAAUGUUGUCAUUUUGUGAGCAUUUGAGCAUGUCGACCAAAGAAAAUUUUAUCUUAGAAUUUUUUUUUAAGUUGUCAUUCACUUGUCUUUUUCCUUCCCACACCCUCUCUUCCCAUACAAGGGAAGAUAAGCCUAUUUUCAUCUAGUUCCCAUGUGUUUUCCUCCAUCCAAACAAUAGGAGGAGAUGUAAGUUCCCAUAAAAAUUUUCUUUCCGUACAUAUAUUCCUUUUCCGUUUUCAUUCCUCCCUUGCUUCUCCAAAUUGAUUUAAAGCCAAGAAAGACAAUAUUCUACAUCAAAAGCCCUCCUAUUCCUUUUGCUUUGCAAAAUCCAAAAAAUUAGUUAAAGGUAUACCAAAUAGGCUCUCAAUUCAUUUUCAUUUGAUUCUAUGGCCACCCAUUAUCCUCCUAUGACAGAAUAGGUCAAUUCCCAUAGUUAUCUAGCUCAAUUGCAUCACCAAUGAAAGGUGUUGCAGUGAUUCUGCUACAUUUUCAGAAAGAUAAUACCCAUUGGUCCUGAUCCUCUACAGGAUCCAGCAUUUGAAUAAUUGGCUCCAACAGAUGUAAUAUAGACACUCUAAUAAUUUUCUCUAUUCCUACCAAAGCUUGUCAAGAUAACUUCUAACCAAGG
rnacentral:misc_RNA from 1 species